rnacentral:rRNA from 1 species
AACGAACGCUGGCGGCAGGCCUAACACAUGCAAGUCGAACGCCGUAGCAAUACGGCAGCGGCAGACGGGAGAGUAACACGUGGGAACGCGCCCUUCGGUCUGGAAUAACCCAGGGAAACUUGGGCUAAUACCGGAUACGCCCUUACGGGGAAAGAUUUAUUGCCGAAGGAACGGCCCGCGUCCGAUUAGCUAGUUGGUGAGGUAACGGCUCACCAAGGGGACGAUCGGUAGCUGGUCUGAGAGGAUGACCAGCCUCACUGGGACUGAGACACGGACCAGACUCCUACGGGAGGCAGCAGUGGGGAAUAUUGGACAAUGGGCGCAAGCCUGAUCCAGCCAUGCCGCGUGGGUGAUGAAGGCCCUAGGGUUGUAAAGCCCUUUCAGCGGGGAAGAUAAUGACGGUACCCGCAGAAGAAGCCCCGGCUAACUUCGUGCCAGCCGCCGCAGUAAAAC